GUCAGAAUUUAGACAUGACCAAGGCCUUUUAGCUUGAAACAUUUAGGACACACAGUCAAGAUUAUAACUGUAAAUUUCAAGACUUUUUCCAUGGGAAUAGGAGAAAGGGAGGAGAAGAGUGAAUUAAAGUACAGUUCCGGCCACAAACGAAGCACUGAAAAAUGCUGGUUGAAUUGAACGGAUCCGAACUGAAGAAUCGUUGCUUAUCCAGGAUUCUAACACUUUAGUCCUCUCUACAUACAAAGCAGUCCAAUGAUAUUAGCCUGCAUGACAUUCCUCACUCAAGACUUUCCAUCUCCUGGUUCAGGUGGGUUUUCCCUGGCUGUCUCCCUUGCCUAGAAUGCUCUCCCUUGCAAAAUCUCCUAUGUUUAU
rnacentral:lncRNA from 1 species